AAAAAAUUACAGUGGUGCCCCGCAAGACGAAUGCCUCGCAAGACGAAAAACUCGCUAAACGAAAGGGUUUUCCGUUUUUUGAGUCGUUCCGCAAGACGAAUUUCCCUAUGGGCUUGCUUCGCAAGACGAAACGUCUUGCGAGUUCUUGCGAGUUUGUUUCCUUUUUCUUAAAGCCGCUAAGCCCCACUAAUAGCCGUGCUUCGCAAGACAAAAAAACCGCAAGACGAAGAGACUCGCGGAACGGAUUAAUUUCGUCUUGCGAGGCACCACUGUAUUAAA